rnacentral:sRNA from 1 species
CGUCGCCUGCGGUGUGCGUUUAUCAGGGAUCAAAGCUUCCACCCUAUAGCUCACCCAUUGGGAGCCACAGCGGCUGUCCGCGAGGCAUGCCCCGCGUAGGGGAAGUCGACGGCAGUCCGUGAGGCGCCCACGUAUCACGCGACCGGGUAGAAGCUCAUCCCCUGGACGGCACCGGCGGGCAUCCA